GUUGUUGAGUCAUUUUCAGUUGUGUUCAACUCUUCAUCACCCCAUUUGGUGCUUUCUUGGCAAAAGAUAUUGGAGUGGUUUGCUAUUCCUUCUCUGGCUCAUUUUCAAUAUGAAGAAAUUGGGUCAAACAGGAUUAAGUGACUUGCCCAGGGUCACAUAUAUAGUAAGUAUCUGAGGCCAGAUUUGAAACUCAAGAAGAGUUUUCCUGACUACAGACCUAGCACUCUAUCCAUUGUGCCACCUAGUUGCCCAUUUUAUGGUUCUUUAGUGCCUGUAUCUUUAAAACCUCAAAUUUGAGUUCUUGAGUCUUAUGUCUAGAACACAGGAGAAGAAGGACUCAGCUGACUCUCUUGUAUGUGUGUAAGGUGCUGACCAACAGCCCUUACAAGAAAGGAAAGAUAGAAGAUUGACCCUUGGGGGAAGGGCUGAAGCCGAGGGGAUGGAUAAGAAUGGAAGCAGACACCAAGGCAAUAUUAACAAUGAGUGAGCUGCACAGAUCAAGCCCCAGCUACCUAACUUCACAAGGACAUGAGGCAGUUAGAUAACUUUAAAUCAACAACAUGGGAGUCAGAAAUGAGUAUAGAGAUCAGCUGAGAGAAAAGCCACUGAUCGCUUAGAGCCAGUGCUCUAAGCACGGGAUCACUCUGGCUUGAGGAUAGGAGAUUAAGAAGGAAAGGGCUUUCACAGAGAUAAAGGAAAUUCCAUGAGAAAGCUGUUCUUGGCCAGAGGCCAAGCUCCAGAAAGGAGAGGGACAGGUGAAAGAGUUAAAAAAGGGCUGGCUUGCUGUGAGCUGCUUGUAUUUAUUGACAUUGUGAUGCAAAGGUAUGUAAUACAUAUUAAUGAAGACACAGUGGAUUGCCAUUGGUUCAGGUGUACAUUACAACAAGGCAGAGGUGUGGAUUGUCUCAGCCAGAGGGGCAGAACGCAUUUUAGCACUUGGGGAAAAAACGAGGAUGAAGGAUCUGCAGUCUGAAUGAGUUUACUUCCGGUUGGCCAAUGGGGAUAGUGAAAACAUCUGGUCACCCACAACGCACUUCAUGCCAGCUGACACAGACCAGGAAGAGAAGCAGAUGGAAGCUGUUGACAUCAGCUAACUACACGCCAGCCACAAUCCAGGCACGCUGGAAGGACACUUCACUGGUGACUAAUAUCACUCCAGAAGAAUGUCAUGCUGACAUCCAUUGACAUAUUGUACCCAAAACAAUAUCAAGUAUGUUAAUUCAUAUGGACUACAACACGCUCGUGUCUGUCUAAGACUUUAGAUAUAUCCCACACUCCAAAGACUUUACUAUGGGAUCGAAACAAAAUAGCUACAAUUGUUUAGAUACUAAUGUAUACCUUGCAUUUUGUAUGUCUAUGAUACUAUCAAAAGAAAUUUAUUUUGUAUGCAUUGUAAAACUACUACUUGUAUUGUAAGAAAUGCUACUAUCAACAAGAGUAUAGACAUUGGUAUGACUCUCCAAAGAGUAGGAGACAGAAAACUUUCAUUAAUAGCAUAGAUCUGAUACCUCUGACAACAAAAAUGAAGUGAUAAGCAGAAGAUGCUGCACAGG
rnacentral:lncRNA from 1 species